rnacentral:lncRNA from 1 species
AUGAGCGGGACUUCUCAAAUUUUAAAUUUCAUCUUCAGUCGUUCUCUCUCUAUAUUCAUAUCUAGGGGAUUACAUAAAAUAGAAGAAAGGAUCUAGAUGAAACCCUAAAGUCUUCUGCUCGUUCUCUCUCUAAGUUCACUAGCUACAACAAAUCGAUAGGUGAUUUGUAAAUCGAUAACUUGUUUUGAUUUGUGUUGCCGCAGAUUAAAAUGGUUAAAGUGGCAGUCUUCUUGUUUGCUGUCAGCGUUGGUUGUUUACGGUGGUUUUGGCAAAGCUCCGGCGGUGGUUUAUAUACAUGGUGGUCACCGGAAUUUAACCUUCCUUCUGUUUAAAGAUUUUGAAGAUUACAGAGAUUUUUACGUUUUGGUUCAGAGCUCUGUAGGUUCUGUUGGGAUCCACUCCACUGGAGUUGAUAUGUGUUGAUUACAGAUUGUUUGAGUGAUGGUUGGUGCAAGUUGAGAAUGAGUACGGAUCUAUAGGAAAGGCGUAUGGAGGUGCGGCUACAACUACAUGACUUAGGCUGCAAACAUGGCGGUUAAAUUGGACACCCCAUUCGUAAUGUGCAAGCAAGAUAGUACUCACAACCAAAUGUUCCAUUUUUUGCUCUACACAUUUGCAGAGAAUUUGAAAUCAUCCACGGGAUGAGACGAGACGAGAAAACAGUGGGUUAGCAUACCUUCUUUUCUUGGCGAAUAGAGAGUUUUCGAUUAUCUGUUGAAAAGGUAAAAGCUGGCGUGGAAACUCAAGUUGAUUUCGUUAAGUCACUUGCUUUUGAAGCCUGUGUUGCUUUCUUUACAGACAUACAAGAUUGCGGCCUUUGUGAACUGGCUACACGGAGAACUCUCCUUCUUGGUUGAUGAGAGGGCAGUAUUGAAGCACUUUGAAGCACUUUGACUUGCCAGAAGGGAAAGCAGGUGCACUAAGAAAAGCAAGCUUUGAAUAUCAAGACCUGAACUAUGUAUCCAAACACGUAACUUUGUUGAUGAUUCAAAUCACUCCUAUGAAUAUGCUUUAAAGAAUGUACAAGUUGCUGUAUGUAUCCA